AGUUGGCUAUGAGGAUAUUUAUUCAGCUUUUAAUGCCAGUUCUGCUUCUGAUUAACUGUGAUUGAUAGAGCUGUUACACAAUCUGAGCCUCUC